UACGAAGGGGGCUAGCGUUGCUCGGAAUCACUGGGCGUAAAGCGCACGUAGGCGGAUUGUUAAGUCAGGGGUGAAAUCCUGGAGCUCAACUCCAGAACUGCCUUUGAUACUGGCGAUCUUGAGUCCGGGAGAGGUGAGUGGAACUGCGAGUGUAGAGGUGAAAUUCGUAGAUAUUCGGAAAGAACACCAGUGGCGAAGGCGGCUCACUGGUCCGGUACUGACGCUGAGGUGCGAAAGCGUGGGGAGCAAACAGGG
rnacentral:rRNA from 1 species